CUGGUUUAUUGUGUUCACUCCGAGUUUAGUUUUAUUCAUUGAAUUUUGAAUGGUUUACACAACUUUUUUCGUUUUUAAAGAAGAUUUUAUGCAACCAACCGAUAAUGAAGACUGUUUUAAUACAAUAGAUGCUUUGUACUCGUGUUAUAAGUGGUCUGAUUGUGGGCUAGCUAAAUUAUAUGACCAAGAACGAAAAACUUUUCCACGCCCGAGUACUUCCACGAAUAGAACGAAUACAUUCUUCCGAAAAGGUUUGCGACUGAAAAAACAGAAUAUUGCGCAGAAUAAACGACCACGAAGGGCAAGAAAACGGAUAAUGCCCCCAAAACGGAUAAUGCCACCAAAACGGAUAAAGGACAAAUCAAAAAAUAAAUCGGAGCAGGACGAAGUCAUUAAA